CAGUCGCCGCGGUAAGACAGAAGAUGCAAGCGUUAUCCGGAAUGAUUGGGCGUAAAGCGUCUGUAGGUGGCUUUUCAAGUCCACCGUCAAAUCCCAGGGCUCAACCCUGGACAGGCGGUGGAAACUACCAAGCUAGAGUAUGGUAGGGGCAGAGGGAAUUUCCGGUGGAGCAAUGAAAUGCGUUGAGAUUGGAAGGAACACCAACGGUGAAAGCACUCUGCUGGGCCGACACUGACACUGAGAGACGAAAGCUAGGGGAGCAAAUGGGAUUAGAUACCCCCGUAGUCCCUGUCUCUUAUAC
rnacentral:rRNA from 1 species